GACGAACGCCGGCGGCGUGCUUAACACAUGCAAGUCGAACGGAAAGGCCCUGCUUUUGUGGGGUGCUCGAGUGGCGAACGGGUGAGUAACACGUGAGUAACCUGCCCUUGACUUUGGGAUAACUUCAGGAAACUGGGGCUAAUACCGGAUAGGAGCUCCUGCUGCAUGGUGGGGGUUGGAAAGUUUCGGCGGUUGGGGAUGGACUCGCGGCUUAUCAGCUUGUUGGUGGGGUAGUGGCUUACCAAGGCUUUGACGGGUAGCCGGCCUGAGAGGGUGACCGGCCACAUUGGGACUGAGAUACGGCCCAGACUCCUACGGGAGGCAGCAGUGGGGAAUAUUGCACAAUGGGCGGAAGCCUGAUGCAGCAACGCCGCGUGCGGGAUGACGGCCUUCGGGUUGUAAACCGCUUUCGCCUGUGACGAAGCGUGAGUGACGGUAAUGGGUAAAGAAGCACCGGCUAACUACGUGCCAGCAGCCGCGGUGAUACGUAGGGUGCGAGCGUUGUCCGGAUUUAUUGGGCGUAAAGGGCUCGUAGGUGGUUGAUCGCGUCGGAAGUGUAAUCUUGGGGCUUAACCCUGAGCGUGCUUUCGAUACGGGUUGACUUGAGGAAGGUAGGGGAGAAUGGAAUUCCUGGUGGAGCGGUGGAAUGCGCAGAUAUCAGGAGGAACACCAGUGGCGAAGGCGGUUCUCUGGGCCUUUCCUGACGCUGAGGAGCGAAAGCGUGGGGAGCGAACAGGCUUAGAUACCCUGGUAGUCCACGCUGUAAACGGUGGGUACUAGGUGUGGGGUCCAUUCCACGGGUUCCGUGCCGUAGCUAACGCUUUAAGUACCCCGCCUGGGGAGUACGGCCGCAAGGCUAAAACUCAAAGGAAUUGACGGGGCCCCGCACAAGCGGCGGAGCAUGCGGAUUAAUUCGAUGCAACGCGUAGAACCUUACCUGGGUUUGACAUGGAUCGGGAGUGCUCAGAGAUGGGUGUGCCUCUUUUGGGGUCGGUUCACAGGUGGUGCAUGCCUGUCGUCAGCUCGUGUCGUGAGAUGUUGGGUUAAGUCCCGCAACGAGCGCAACCCUUGUUCACUGUUGCCAGCACGUUAUGGUGGGGACUCAGUGGAGACCGCCGGGGUCAACUCGGAGGAAGGUGGGGAUGACGUCAAGUCCUCAUGCCCCUCAUGUCCAGGGCUUCACGCAUGCUACAAUGGCUGGUACAGAGAGUGGCGAGCCUGUGAGGGUGAGCGAAUCUCGGAAAGCCGGUCUCAGUUCGGAUUGGGGUCUGCAACUCGACCUCAUGAAGUCGGAGUCGCUAGUAAUCGCAGAUCAGCAACGCUGCGGUGAAUACGUUCCCGGG
rnacentral:rRNA from 1 species